rnacentral:misc_RNA from 1 species
GACCCAGGGCCACACUGCAGCU